rnacentral:lncRNA from 1 species
CAUAUUUUGGGGGUGUCUGUGAUUUUUUAAAUUUAAUUUAUUUCUUAUUCUGUUUCUUCCCCCCACCCCUCUUCUUUUGGGACAGGAUCCCCAUCUGUGGCCCAAGCUGGUCUCAAACUCCCGGCCUCAAGCUAUUCUCCCACCUCAGCCUCCCAAAGUACUGGGGUCACAGGCGUGAUCCCCACGCCCAGCCUCAGGUGAUAUUUUUAUUACAUGUGUACAACAUGUAAAGAGAAAAUCAGACACCCAUCACCCCAAACAUUUAUAUCUACUUUGUGUCAGAAACAUUAUAAGUCUUCUAGCUAUUUUGAAAUAUACAAUACAUUAUUGUUAACUAUAAUUCCCCUGCAGUAGUAUCAACUACUAGAUCUUAUUCCCUCUGUCUAGCUGUAUGUUUGUACCCAUUAGCCAACCUCUCUUCAUCUUCCCCAGCCCCCUUCCCAGCCUCUGUUAACUAUCAUUCAACCCUCUAGCUCCAUGAGAUCCACUUUUGUUUUUAGCUUCCACAUGACUGAAAAUAUGUGGCAUUUGUCUUUCUGUGCCUGGCUUAUUUCACAUAACAUGAUGACCUCCAUUCCACCCAUGUUGCUGCAAAUGACAGGAUUUUAUCAUUUUUUAUAGCUAAAUAAUAUUCCAUUGUGUAUAUACGUCACAUUUUCUUUCUUUAUUCAUCCAUUGAUGGACACUUAUGUUGAUCUGUAUCUUGGCCAUCAGGAAUAGUGCUGCAGUAAACAGGAGGGCAAAUAUCUCUUCAAUAUACUUAUUCCCUUUCUUUUGGAUAUACGUGUGUGUGUGUGUGUGUGUGUGUGUGUGUGUGUGUGUAUCCAGCAGGUUUUUCUCAUUUUAAAAACUCCAUAGAAAUAGUGAUGUCUAAUGUACUAACUCUUACAUAUGUAAAUUGUGUGGUUUCCAGGGAUACAGAGACUUAACAAAUAGCAGACAUGGCUGGGCGCAGUGGUUUACGCCUGUAAUCCCAGAACUUUAGGAAGCCGAGGCAGGUGGAUCUACCUGAGAUCAGGAGUUCGACACCAGCCUGGCCAACAUGGUGAAACCCUGUCUCUACUAAAAAUACAAAAAUUACCUGGGCGUGGUGGCAGGCACCUGUAAUCUCAGCAAUUCAGGAGGCUGAGGCAGGAGAAUCGCUUGAACCCAGGAGGCGGAGGUUGCAGUGAGCCGAGAUCACGCCAUUGCACUCCAGCCUGUGUGGCAAGGGCAAAACUCCGUCUAAAAAAAAAAAAAGACAUAUACUUUAUAAACAUUAGGAAAAAAAUUUGUGUUUGUAUACACACACAUACAUACAUACAAAUGCACAAAGAUACCUCUACCACUUCUUCUCUUCUUAUCAUUAUUAUUCUUUUUUUUUUUUCUUUUAAGACAGUGUCAGGCCAGGCGCCGUGGCUCAUGCCUGUAAUCCCAGCACUUUGGGAGACCAAGGCGGGUGGAUCACGAGAUCAGGAGAUCGAAACCAUGGUGAAACCCUGUCUCUACUAAAAAUACAAAAAAAUUAGCCAGGCGCAGUGGCGGGCGCCUGUAGUCCCAGCUACUCGGGAGGCUGAGGCAGGAGAAUGGUGUGAACCCAGGAGGUAGAGCUUGCAGUGAGCCCAGAUCGCGCCACUGCACUCCAGCCUGGGUGACAGAGCGAGACUCCAUCUCAAAAAAAAAAAAGACAGUGUCUUAUUCUGUCACCCAGGCUGGAAUGCAGUGGUACAAUCUUGGUUCACUGGUGCCUUCACCUCCUUGGCUCAAGGAAUUCUCCUGCCUCAGCCUCUUGAGUAGCUGGAACUACAGGUGUGUGCCAUGACAUCUGGCUAAGUUUUUAAAAAAAUUUUUUUAGGGAUGGGGGUCUCACUAUGUCACCCAGGCUGGUCUUGAACUCUUGACCUCAAGCAGUCCUCCCACCUUAGCCUCCCAAAGUGGUGGUAUUACAGGCAUGAGCCACCAUGCCUGGCCUCUCUGUCACUUCUUACAUCAAAUUUGGUUAUGCAGUUUUUAUCCUAUUAGAUUGUUUUAAAGUCCUAGUUGAACAAAUGGUUUUUUUCAAACACUAAUGUAGGAAUGUUAAUUAGAAGUAAUUUUAAGUCUUUUAAAUUAUAAAAGCACAUAUUCAUUAAUGCAGCAAUUCCUUCACUGGUAACGAACCCUACAGAUACAUUCAUGUUCAUGGGUGUAAAGAUGUAUGUACAGGGAUUCCUCUGAAGCCCAGUUAAUAGUAGCAAAAAAACUGGGACUCACCAGUAGGGCACUAGUUAGAUAAAGGAUGGUGCAUCCAUGUGAUGGAAAACCAGCAAACCACUGAAAACGAUGACAGAGAUCCAUACUCACUUAUGCGGAACCAUCUCCAAGAGGCAGUGUUGAGUGAGAAAGCACCAUGGGAGUGUCUGGACUGUGGUGAUGGUUGCACAACUGUAUAAAUUAACCUUGAAAAUCACUGAACUGAAUUGGGUAUGGCAACUCACAUCUGUAAUCUCAGCACUUUGGGAGGCUGAGGCAGGCAGACUGCUUGAGCCCAGGAGUUCGAGACCAGCCUGGGAAACAUAGUGAAACCCCAUCUCUACAAAAAUUACAAAAGUAGCCAGGCGUGGUGGUGCAUGGCUGUAGUCCCAGGUACUAGGGAGGCUGAGGUGGGAGGAUUGCUUGAACCCGGGAGGUCGAGGCUGCAGUGAGCUGAGGUCGUGCCACCGCAUUUGAGCCUGGGCAACAGAGUUGAGACCUCAUCUCACACACAAAUCACUGAACUAUACUCUUUAAAUGAGGGGAUUUUAUAGUAUGUGAAUUAUACAUUAAUAAAACGUUUUUAAAAGAUCAUAAAAAAGUAUGUAACUUAUUCUCUUCUAUAAAACUAAAUUAAAAAUACACACAUAGGUUGGUAUAUGCAUGGUAACAUUCUGGUGAUUAUUUCUUGGGGAGGGGAAAGGUUUAUUACAUACACUGUACAAUAUAUAUUUUUUUUACCGUAGCAGGUACACUUGUUCAAUAAUUUUUAAUAGUUGCAUUUAUCCUUUCAUAGAAUAUCCAUUACAAUAGUUUCCACAGCAGUAAUUGACCAGGGAUUUAAGUAGAAUAAGAAAUGCCUUUAAUAUUUUAACAACUUGAAGAAACGAGGAAUUUUUUCUUCACCAAAAGGCAUAGGUUUUACACACAAGGAACUUAUGUCUUUAUAAAUCUAAUUUAAAGAAAACAUUUCUUCCAUGAUGAUAAGACCUAGAAUAGACACACAAAUGGUGGAGUUUUUUACUGCUGAUAAAAAUAAUAACUGUUUGUUAUAGAAAUUUUAAAAGAGAAAAAUAUAAAAAGAAGAAAACAACAAUCACCUAUACCCCACCCGAUUACAGCAACUGCAGACAUGUUGGUGUAUUUUCGGCCAGUUACUAUGUGUACACAAUUUUCUGUUUUACAAUGUUAUGAACCCACUACAAAUGAUUAUGUAUUUUCUUUUUUUUCCAUCAAUUCCCAUAUCAUGCAAAUUUUCCCAUGUUCUUAAAAUGUUAUUCAAGAACAUGAUAGUACAUCCUAUGGUCAUUUUACUUACUUAUUUAUUUAUUUAUUUAUUUAUUUAUUUAUUUAUUUAUUUUUUGAGACAGAGUCUUACUCUGUCACCCAGGCUAGAGUGCAACAGCGCAAUCUUGGCUCACUGCAACCUCCGUCUCCCGGGUUCAAGCUAUUCUCCUGCCUCAGCCUCCUGAGUAGCUGGGAUUACAGGCACCUGCCACCACACCUGGCUAAUUUUUGUAUUUUUAGUAAAGACGGAGUUUCGCCACAUUGGCCAGGCUAGUCUCGAACUCCUGACCUCAGGUGAUCUGCCCACCUCGGCCUCCCAAACUGCUGGGAUUACAGGCGUGAGCCACCGCGCCCGGCCUGUAGUCACAUUUAUUGAAUGCACUACCUGCUAAGCACAAAGCACUCUACUAGGCACUUUAUAUAUAUUAUUUCACUUAUUUUUCACAAUGAGACAGGUAUUAUCUCCAUUUUACCUAUAGGAAGCUGAGGCUAGGACCCUUGCUCAUCGACUGUCUCCCAGAGAGUUAGUGCCAAAGCAGGAGCUGAAAAUCAGGUCUGUCUGAUUCCAAAACCCACACUCUUCCAUUAACAAGGAGAAAAGAAGGGCUGUGGUACAUUUGCCAAAGAAAACCACUUUUCUAGUUGUCCAAGUGCCAAGGGCCACAGUCCACAGUCAGGGUUUCAGAAUAAACUGAGAGUCCUUGAAUGGAUCAAUAGGUUUUGAAAUGCAAAUAUAACUUUUUCAAUUUUUUAUUUUUUAGAGACAGGGUCUCACUCUGUCACUCAGGCUGGAGUGCAGUGACACAGUUAUGGCUCACUGAAGUUUUGACCUCCUAGGUUCAAGGGCUCCUCUCACCUCAGCCUCCCAAGUAGCUGGGACUGCAGGUGCUGCCACCACACCCAGCUAAUUUUUAUUUUUAGUAGAGACAAGGUCUCACUAUGUUGACCAGGCUGGUCUCAAACUCCUGGCCUUAAACAGUCCUCUCACUCAGCCUCCCAAAGUGCCUAGAUUGCAGGCAUGAGCCACUGCACCUAAUCUGAAAUGUAAAUAUAGCUUCCAUACAGAAAAAAAAAAAAAAAAAAAAAAAAAAAACACACAACUAUCAAACAUUUAGCCAGAAUAUCUCAAAACGACAGCAACAACAAAUUUUUGGAAACAGAUUUCUGAUUCAUAGCUAUCAGCAUUACUUUAAAAGUGUGGCCAAAAGCAAGCACAUACAUGUGUUAUAUAUUGAAGGAAAACACAGCUGGGCAUGGUGGCUCAUGCCUAUAAUCCCAGCACUUUGGGAAGCUGAGGUGGGAGGGCCACUUUAUGCCAGGAGUUUGAGACCAGCCUGGGAAACAUGGCAAGAUCCCCAUCUCUACAAACUUUUUUUGUAGUGGUGGCCUGCAUCUAUAGACCCAGCUACUGGAGAGGCUGAGACAGGAGGCUCUCUUG